GUGUCAGCCGCCGCGGUAAUACGUAGGGUGCAAGCGUUAAUCGGAAUUACUGGGCGUAAAGCGUACGCAGGCGGCUGGGUAAGACGGAUGUGAAAUCCCCGGGCCUAACCUGGGAACUGCAUUCGUGACUGCUCAGCUAGAGUCUGUCAGAGGGGGGUGGAAUUCCACGUGUAGCAGUGAAAUGCGUAGAGAUGUGGAGGAACACCGAUGGCGAAGGCAGCCCCCUGGGAUAAGACUGACGCUCAUGUACGAAAGCGUGGGGAGCAAACAGGAUUAGAUACCCUCGUAGUCC
rnacentral:rRNA from 1 species